CUACGGGUGGCAGCAGUGGGGAAUAUUGGACAAUGGGGGAAACCCUGAUCCAGCAAUGCCGCGUGUGUGAAGAAGGCCUGCGGGUUGUAAAGCACUUUCGGUUGGGAGGACUGCCUCUAGCACUAAUAUUGUUGGAAGUUGACGUUACCUUCAGAAGAAGCACCGGCUAACUCCGUGCCAGCAGCCGCGGUAAUACGGAGGGUGCAAGCGUUAAUCGGAAUUACUGGGCGUAAAGCGCGCGUAGGCGGCUAGAUCAGUCGGGUGUGAAAGCCCCGGGCUUAACCUGGGAACUGCAUCCGAUACUGUCUAGCUUGAGUACAGGAGAGGAGAGUGGAAUUCCACAUGUAGCGGUGAAAUGCGUAGAUAUGUGGAGGAACACCAAUGGCGAAGGCAGCUCUCUGGCCUGAUACUGACGCUGAGGUGCGGAAGCGUGGGGAGCAAACAGGAUUAGAUACCCGAGUAGUC
rnacentral:rRNA from 1 species